GUGGAACUGCUAGAUGUUGGAAGGGUAAGAGGAAAAAAAGAUGCCAGGUUAGACACAAGAUAGUCACAGUGCUGAGUCUGUUAAAUAUACGGUGAAAAAGCUGACCAGAAAAGUUUUAACUGGAUGUUACACUUGAAAAGGUCAAUUGUGGUAGCACGUUUAGAUGUGCUUUCUGUUCUCUGAAGCCUACCACAUAUGGAAAUGACCACAGAACAAUGUUAACCAGAACUUAACCUGGCCUGCCCUUGUGAAUAGAACUGAUCCCAUCUCGCAGCACCCGGCUCCAAGACAAGCUAUAAGAGGUUUAUAAGAGGUUCACCUGCAUGCAAGAGCAAUCCCCAGGGCAACAGAAGCAACAUACAGUCACUGGUGUGACACCUAUCUGCAAGACAAAGGUUACUGCAGCUGCUUUAUGAUGGAGCUAAGGGACAUUUUUGAAGGCUUGCCACUUCUAGUUCAGAUCAGGAGCUGCUGUGUUAAUUGCUCUUUGAUGGCCUCUGUUGUCCAGGUGCAGAAAUAG